ACGCUAAAGUACGAUGGUCUCGCUAAAGUGCGAUGGUCUACGCUAAAGUCCGAUGCCUCCAUUCGCUAAAGUGCGAUGGUCCGCGAAAGUAUAGACGUACGAAACGUAGUGUGAUUAUGACGUUAACAUUCGUUUAUACAAACCAAAAAUGAACAUGCCGGUAGAUGAAAUAAAUAAUGGAAGCGAACAGAUGCAUAUUAAU
rnacentral:lncRNA from 1 species